AUGAACGCUGGCGGCGUGCCUAAUACAUGCAAGUCGAGCGAACAGACGAGGAGCUUGCUCCUCUGACGUUAGCGGCGGACGGGUGAGUAACACGUGGAUAACCUACCUAUAAGACUGGGAUAACUUCGGGAAACCGGAGCUAAUACCGGAUAAUAUAUUGAACCGCAUGGUUCAAUAGUGAAAGACGGUUUUGCUGUCACUUAUAGAUGGAUCCGCGCCGCAUUAGCUAGUUGGUAAGGUAACGGCUUACCAAGGCAACGAUGCGUAGCCGACCUGAGAGGGCGAUCGGCCACACUGGAACUGAGACACGGUCCAGACUCCUACGGGAGGCAGCAGUAGGGAAUCUUCCGCAAUGGGCGAAAGCCUGACGGAGCAACGCCGCGUGAGUGAUGAAGGUCUUCGGAUCGUAAAACUCUGUUAUUAGGGAAGAACAAAUGUGUAAGUAACUAUGCACGUCUUGACGGUACCUAAUCAGAAAGCCACGGCUAACUACGUG
rnacentral:rRNA from 1 species